CCUACGGGGGGCUGCAGUGGGGAAUAUUGCACAAUGGGCGCAAGCCUGACGCAGCCAUGCCGCGUGUGUGAAGAAGGCCUUCGGGUUGUAAAGCACUUUCAGCGGGGAGGAAGGCGGUGAGGUUAAUAACCUCAUCGAUUGACGUUACCCGCAGAAGAAGCACCGGCUAACUCCGUGCCAGCAGCCGCGGUAAUACGGAGGGUGCAAGCGUUAAUCGGAAUUACUGGGCGUAAAGCGCACGCAGGCGGUCUGUCAAGUCGGAUGCGAAAUCCCCGGGCUCAACCUGGGAACUGCAUUCGAAACUGGCAGGCUAGAGUCUUGUAGAGGGGGGUAGAAUUCCAGGUGUAGCGGUGAAAUGCGUAGAGAUCUGGAGGAAUACCGGUGGCGAAGGCGGCCCCCUGGACAAAGACUGACGCUCAGGUGCGAAAGCGUGGGGAGCAAACAGGAUUAGAUACCCGGGUAGUC
rnacentral:rRNA from 1 species